CGUUGUUUAGCUUUCGUAAGAACCCGGAGGUAAGACAACAGUGGAUGCAGUUUGUUUUUCCCGGACAGCGACGGAGUUGCGAAAAUGUUUUUGUUUGUGAACGUCAUUUCGAACAGGAUUGCUUCUCAAACAAGUACCAGUUUUACUCUGGAUUUUCAAGUCACUUGCAACUGAAUGACAGAGCGUUGCCAACGAAAAAAGUGACCGUUUUGGAUUCUGAACCACAGCCGAUAAGUAAAACUUUGUGAAAUAUCUCUGUUUUGUUAGCAAUCGGCGUCUCAGUGCAUGUAAUGUAAACAACAGGAUCAUUGGACCGGUGUCACGAUAGCAGUUAGCCAUUGCAGAGUUUUCAAAUAGAAAAUACAAAGCGUUACUUUCUAUGAUAUUAUGAUGUAUAUGAAAUUAUGGCUUUUUUAAAGUCUUACCAAUGUAUACUGGUACGGCACAGGAUUUCAAUUGUGUUGUAAUCUUUUACGUGAGCUUUCACAAGCGAUACAUGCCCAAUAUGAGCGUUACAGUAAAUUCCAUAAAUGUUUGUAAGUAUGAAUAACACAUACUGCGGAUGUAGAGUCUCUUUGGGAUGAUGUAAUGAUGCAUUUACAUGCAUUUGAUUUGUUUACAACCAGAGGUGUCCCGUUGUUUAUCUAAAAAACAUUUCAAGUUUGCUCUCUCACCACCACACACACACCUAACCUACUGUUCACCUAUUUUGCAAUACAGGUAGCUGCUGAAAGUUGUACAGGAGUUGAUUAUGUCGUGAAUGUAGAAGAGUACUUACAGGUUUGGAACCUUGGUACAUUACAAAGUAGAAGAAGAUGCUGCCGAACAAAAGACUUCUCAAAGAUGUGGGAAAGCUGAGCCACUAUCAACAAACUUCUGCUCUACAGGCAUUUCAUUCUGAGAUUUGCACCGAAGAGUGUUGUUUUUCCGUUUAUUGGAAUGCUAUGCUGGUAAUAGUUUAUAUUUCACUUGUCAGUAAAACAAACUAUACAGAAGAAUAAUUAGUGUCCACUUUGAAUAACAUACACUUGACAGUUGUUUCCUUUUACUAUUGAUCUUUCUAGACUCUAUCUAGCGGGAAUGCAUUACAAUGAAAAUGCAGAACGUGAACAGGCAACGACCCUUGAGGGCACACCUGUGUACUACGUGAUGUACCCAAAAUCAAAGAAGGGGAAACCAAUAGUCAAGCCAAAGAAAACAGAGCCCACUUUUGGAUACAUCAGUGACCUCACGACACUGCUGUUCACGGAAGUGUUUGACAACCCUGAAGUCUUUGUUGAGGAACUCUCAAAGGAAAAAUGUCCCAUUCCAGAAGACCAGUCUGCGCAGUGUGACAAGCCGUCAAAAGAGGAGCUGGUUGCCUGACAUGUGUCUAGGUUCAAUCCAGUGGUGGCCGGAAGCCAACGCAGUUCCCACCAGCAUCAGGAAACUCCUGGCAAAUCCGCUGGACAACACAUGCAGGAAUGACCACACGCACAUGUCUGCCGAGAUAUCACCAGCUGACAAAACUGCGAUAGACCAAAUAUCUGAAACGUCUGGAAAAGAGUUGUGUACUUACUGCAAUAAUGUCAACAUAAACCUCAUAUUUGUAUUGAUAUCAACAAUCAUCUUUGCAGUGUAUUAAUGUGCAUUGUUUAUAUGUCCUUGAAUAUACUAUUAAUAUUUCUUAAAGUUAAUUUGUUCUAUGGAAAGUGUAGGAGCCAUACUUUUCUACAUGUUCAUUUAACUAUCAGUUUGUUGCUAUAUUGUUAAUGUUGUUUAUUUUUCGGAGUGUGUGUCCUCUAUAGGUGUAGAGAAAACAAGGUUUCAAAGGAUAUGCCACCCCUGACAGGAAGAGGGCGCUGGUGCGAGAACACACAGUUUUUUGACCGUGCGCACUGCGCAUUGAGCUAAGAUGGCAACAAGCCUGCAUGUGGCCUUUAAGUUGUUUUUCUUUAUGUAGCAAUUCAGUUUGGUUUUGUUUUUGAUUGAAUAAACAGUUAUUAUUUGGAACAUCAGCAAGGCUUUCUGGAUGUAUUCAAGUAACUCAGCACGCGUCAGAUUACUGCAUCAACACCUCCCACAGUGGUUAAGAAACAAGGGACAAAAUUGGAGAUUAUGAAAGUUUGAUUUUACCACUACAGAAAGUUUGCUUACAAAAUAAACAUAUUUUUUUAAUUGCUUUGGUUUGAUGAUGUGAUGUGACAUAACAGUAAGGUUACAUACAGUUAAACAAAUGUUAAUUUUAAAGUGACUCACUCCUACACCGUUCUCCUUCUGAGUGGGCCAUAGUCAGCUCUGUAAAUGUUAGUUAUGUUCUGCAGUGUAUAGACACUCAGGCAAUUGGACUCCAGUCCAGGGUGUUCAGUCAUACAUUGCAGAGAGGUUGGUGCCU